GAUGAACGCUGGCGGCGUGCCUAAUACAUGCAAGUCGAGCGAACAGACGAGGAGCUUGCUCCUCUGACGUUAGCGGCGGACGGGCGAGUAACACGUGGAUAACCUACUUAUAAUACUGGGAUAACUUCGGGAAACCGGAGCUACUACCGGAUAAUAUAUUCAACCGCAUGGUUCAAUAGUGAAAGACGGUUUUGCCGUCACUUAUAGAUGGUUCCGCGCCGCAUUAGCUAGUUGGUAAGGUAACGGCUUACCAAGGCAACGAUGCGUAGCCGACCUGAGAGGGUGAUCGGCCACACUGGAACUGAGACACGGUCCAGACUCCUACGGGAGGCAGCAGUAGGGAAUCUUCCGCAAUGGGCGCAAGCCUGACGGAGCAACGCCGCGUGAGUGAUGAAGGUCUUCGGAUCGUAAAACUCUGUUAUUAGGGAAGAACAAAUGUGUAAGUAACUAUGCACGUCUUGACGGUACCUAAUCAGAAAGCCACGGCUAACUACGUG
rnacentral:rRNA from 1 species